UGGGGAAUCUUGGACAAUGGGGGCAACCCUGAUCCAGCCAUGCCGCGUGAGUGAUGAAGGCCUUAGGGUCGUAAAGCUCUUUCGCCUGUGAAGAUAAUGACGGUAGCAGGUAAAGAAACCCCGGCUAACUCCGUGCCAGCAGCCGCGGUAAUACGGAGGGGGUUAGCGUUGUUCGGAAUUACUGGGCGUAAAGCGCACGUAGGCGGACCAGAAAGUUGGGGGUGAAAUCCCGGGGGCUCAACCCCGGAACUGCCUCCAAAACUAUUGGUCUAGAGUUCGAGAGAGGUGAGUGGAAUUCCAAGUGUAGAGGUGAAAUUCGUAGAUAUUUGGAGGAACACCAGUGGCGAAGGCGGCUCACUGGCUCGAUACUGACGCUGGAGGUGCGAAAGUGUGGGGAGCAAACAGGAUUAGAUACCCUGGGUAGUCCACACCGUAAAACGAUGAAUGCCAGUCGUCGGGUAGCAUGCUAUUCGGUGACACACCUAACGGAUUAAGCAUUCCGCCUGGGAGUACGGUCGCAAGAUUAAAACUCAAAAGGAAUU
rnacentral:rRNA from 1 species